UACGUAGGGUGCGAGCGUUAAUCGGAAUUACUGGGCGUAAAGCGUGCGCAGGCGGUUCGUUGUGUCGGCGGUGAAAGCCCCGGGCUUAACCUGGGAAUGGCCGUUGAAACUGGCGAACUGGAGUGUGGCAGAGGGGGGUGGAAUUCCGCGUGUAGCAGUGAAAUGCGUAGAGAUGCGGAGGAACACCGAUGGCGAAGGCAGCCCCCUGGGGUAACACUGACGCUCAUGCACGAAAGCGUGGGGAGCAAACAGG
rnacentral:rRNA from 1 species